AGGGCUAUAGCUCAGUUGGUAGAGCAACUCGUAAUAAAAGUUUGAUUUGUUUUACCGAGAAGGUCUACGGUUCGAGUCCGUAUAGCCCUA
rnacentral:tRNA from 2 species